rnacentral:rRNA from 1 species
AAUGAACGCUGGCGGCGCGCCUAAUACAUGCAAGUCGAGCGAGAAGACGUAGCAAUACGUUUGUAAAGCGGCGAACGGGUGAGGAAUACAUGGGUAACCUACCCUCGAGUGGGGAAUAACUAGCCGAAAGGUUAGCUAAUACCGCGUACGCUUCUUGGACUUCGGUUCAGGGAGGAAAGCGAUACCGUGGGUAUCGCGCUCUUGGAUGGGCUCAUGUCCUAUCAGCUUGUUGGUGAGGUAACGGCUCACCAAGGCUUCGACGGGUAGCUGGUCUGAGAGGACGAUCAGCCACACUGGCACUGCGACACGGGCCAGACUCCUACGGGAGGCAGCAGUAAGGAAUAUUGCGCGAUGGGCGAAAGCCUGACGCAGCGACGCCGCGUGGGGGAUGAAGGUCUUCGGAUUGUAAACCCCUUU